AAAAAAGAAGUGGAGGCGCGCUUUGCUAAACGAACAAGUCACGAAACGUUUCAGUAGAACAAACUGUUUUUUACUUGGCAAAAUGUUCGAACCAACAACUAGUUUGUGUGCCCCUGAUUCGGGGGAUCAAUAUCAGUUCCCGUUCGAUCCACCUUACGACAUUCAGCUGGAUUUGAUGCGCACAUUGUACCAAGUGGUGCAGUCCCGUCAAAUCGGUAUUUUCGAAAGUCCCACCGGAACCGGUAAGAGUCUUACACUGACCUGCGGUGUACUGAGCUGGCUACGGGAUCACGAAGCUGCAGUGGAACAGGAUCUGAUUGAAGGUAUUUCAAAACUAAAGACAGAUAUAGCCCGACAGGAGCUGGAAAAUUCUGGCGCGGUAGAUUGGAUUUCCGGUCAAUUUGCAACGAUCGGUGUAAAGAAUCAGUUGAGUGAGAUAAGAGGGGUCAAGGAGCUUAGAGAUGAAUACUACAAAAGACUAACGGAGUUGAAGAAGAAAUCUACCGAAGUUAAAAGAAAAAAAGAUUCUACUCGCUGGUUGAAACAAGUUUCAAAACAACAGCAAUUGGAGACGGACUCCGGCGAAAAUCAGAAAGCAACAGGUAAUGACGGUUACCUGGUAGAGGAUUCGGACGAUGAUGACUGUGACGAGGUUGAAGCCGAUGCGGAGAGCUCAAAAUUCAAGCCUGUUCAAGUGAUUUUCUGCUCCAGAACUCAUUCUCAGCUGGGCCAAGUUAUUCGCGAGAUUCGCCGGACGGACUUCGGGAAACAGAUUAGAUUGACAAUUUUGGCUUCAAGGCAAAACAUGUGCAUCAACCCGGAGGUUCGAAAGUUGAACUCGAAUGCUCUAAUCAAUGAGAGGUGUUUGGAACUGCAGAAAAAAUGCACUAAAACGACGUCGGUGGACAGUGAUGAAAACACUCGAAAGAAACGGAAGUUGAAUGAUAAAUGUCCCUACUACAAUCGUCAGAUGAUUGAUGAUUUGAAGAACGAUACCCUCUUUGAAGUUCAAGACAUCGAAGAGCUUGUGUCUGUCGCUCAGCAGGAAAAGGCCUGCCCGUAUUACGCUUCUCGAGCAGCUGUUUCCGACUCUCAGCUGAUUAUGAUGCCAUAUCAGAAUUUACUUCAUCGUAAAACUCGGGAACAAACCGGAAUAGAUAUUAAGAAUGCUGUGAUAAUUAUAGACGAGGCACACAAUCUGCUAGAUACUAUUUCUAACAUUCACAGCCAGGAAGUAACGCUGGACCACCUUCAGCAAGUUCGGCUGCAUAUCAAUGCAUACAAAACGCAGUAUUUCCCUCGUUUCUCCACUAAAAAUCUUCUAAAGAUUAAUCAACUAUUAUUCAUUGUCACUCGUCUCUGCAAGUUGCUAGAGGUUCCACCGGAAAGUCACACCGGUUCACGAAUGAUCCAUUCCUACGAAUUGAUGACAGAGGGUGAGUUCUUCAACCUUAAUUUGUUGGAAAUUUUGCAAUUUGCCGAGAAAACCCGGAUUGCUCAGAAAAUUCAUGGUUUUGCCCAGAGUAUUCCAUCACCGUUGUUGCUGCAAAAUCCGGUGAAAAGUCAUCCCAAGGAGUCGAAGGGAACGAGUGCUUUGAAGGAGUACCUUAAACGAUUGGGAAACGGAGAUAACAAAAAAUCCGCUGCAAACCAGCAGUCGGUGGUUGACGAAGUGACACCGUCGGUUGAGGUGCGUAAACCAGUGGCCAACGCGAUUCGACCUUUGCUGGCUUUCCUGGAGUGCUUGGUGGAGACUUUUGACGAUGGACGUGUGUUGUUGUCCUACGAUAGGAAGGAUUGUCAGCGCUCCAGCAUGAAAUACCUGCUACUUAAUCCAGGUGCCAGGUUCGAGGAAAUUUUGACUAGUUGUCGCUCGCUCAUUCUGGCGGGUGGAACUAUGCACCCAGUGGAGGAGCUUACCGAACAGUUGUUUAAAGAUUGUCCCGAGAGGGUUCAACUGCGAAGUUACCGCCACGUAGUGCCCGCGGAUGCUAUUCUUCCGUUGGCUUUUUCGAAAGGACCCUCUGGAAAAGAAUUGUUGUUCAAUUAUAAUAAUCGUCAGUCUAAAGAUUUGUUAAAUGAGCUGACCUCUACUUUGAUCAACAUCUGCCAGGUUGUACCAAAUGGAGUCGUUUGCUUUUUUAGCUCCUACGAUUAUCUGGAGCAGUUUUAUUCGAACCUCCAAGAAAGCAGUAAACUUGCACGCUUGGAAGAACGAAAGCGCGUUUUUCGGGAACCACGAGGCAGUGGAAACAUUGACAAGGUUUUGGUCGAGUAUUCGCACGCUGCCCGGAUUAGUUGUGGGAAACAAACCGGCGCCCUGAUGCUGAGUGUUGUAGGUGGCAAACUAAGCGAAGGAUUGAACUUCUCAGACGAACUGGGACGGUGUGUGGUGGUGGUCGGUUUGCCUUACCCAAAUCGAACCAGCCCGGAACUGGUGGAGAGGAUGCGCUAUCUGGAUCGAACGCUGAAACCAUCGGCUGGCAGUGAGUACUACGAGAAUCUGUGUAUGAAAGCCGUUAACCAGUGCAUUGGGCGUGCGGUGAGACACAUUCGGGAUUAUGCCAGCGUCGUGCUCCUCGAUACCAGGUAUUGCAGUAGUGAGAAGAUUCGGAAUAAACUGCCGCUAUGGAUAUCCGAGAACUUGCAGUGCUUUGAGCGGUACGGCCAAGCCCACGGUAGUUUGGUGAAGUUUUUCAAGGGAAAAUCUUCUGAGAAAUGAUGUGCAAUCCUGUUAUUUGAGUUAACGAUAAAGGCGAACAUAUUUGAACCUAUUCGAAUACAAGUGAAGCUGUAAUACCUAACACAUAAAAACCGUGAAGUAACGAAGGAUUUAUUUUGUGAAGAAGCUGUGAAUUUCAUUUGAAUAGAAAACUACUAGCAGAGCUACUACACUGGUAAAUAACCAAAAAAGUAUGAAAACUGUUACUUAU